GACGAACGCUGGCGGCGUGCUUCAUACAUGCAAGUCGAACGAGAAGCUGACUUCGGUCAGUGGAAAGUGGCGGACGGGUGAGUAAUAUGUAGGAAAUCUGCCUUUAGGAGGGGGACAACAGAGGGAAACUUCUGCUAAUACCCCAUAUGAGCGUAGCUGAAAUGCUAUUCCUGAAAACUCCGGUGCCUAAAGAUGAGCCUGCAUCUGAUUAGCUAGUUGGUAGUGUAAUGGACUACCAAGGCGACGAUCAGUAGCUGGUUUGAGAGGAUGAUCAGCCACAAUGGGACUGAGACACGGCCCAUACUCCUACGGGAGGCAGCAGUAGGGAAUUUUGCGCAAUGGGCGCAAGCCUGACGCAGCAACGCCGCGUGAACGAUUAAGCCCUUCGGGGUGUAAAGUUCUGUCAGUGGGGACGAAACUUGACGGUACCCACAGAGGAAGCACCGGCUAACUCCGUG
rnacentral:rRNA from 1 species